AUACGGGGCCGUUAUAGCCAUGU
rnacentral:miRNA from 1 species